rnacentral:rRNA from 1 species
GUCGAACGGUAACAUAAAGAGCUUGCUUCUUUGAUGACGAGUGGCGGACGGGUGAGUAAUGCUUGGGAAUCUAGCUUAUGGAGGGGGAUAACUACGGGAAACUGUAGCUAAUACCGCGUAAUAUCGAAAGAUUAAAGUGUGGGACCUUCGGGCCACAUGCCAUAGGAUGAGCCCAAGUGGGAUUAGGUAGUUGGUGAGGUAAAGGCUCACCAAGCCGACGAUCUCUAGCUGGUCUGAGAGGAUGACCAGCCACACUGGGACUGAGACACGGCCCAGACUCCUACGGGAGGCAGCAGUGGGGAAUAUUGCGCAAUGGGGGCAACCCUGACGCAGCCAUGCCGCGUGAAUGAAGAAGGCCUUCGGGUUGUAAAGUUCUUUCGGUAGCGAGGAAGGCAUUUAGUUUAAUAGACUAGGUGAUUGACGUUAACUACAGAAGAAGCACCGGCUAACUCCGUGCCAGCAGCCGCGGUAAUACGGAGGGUGCGAGCGUUAAUCGGAAUAACUGGGCGUAAAGGGCACGCAGGCGGUGACUUAAGUGAGGUGUGAAAGCCCCGGGCUUAACCUGGGAAUUGCAUUUCAUACUGGGUCGCUAGAGUACUUUAGGGAGGGGUAGAAUUCCACGUGUAGCGGUGAAAUGCGUAGAGAUGUGGAGGAAUACCGAAGGCGAAGGCAGCCCCUUGGGAAUGUACUGACGCUCAUGUGCGAAAGCGUGGGGAGCAAACAGGAUUAGAUACCCU